rnacentral:rRNA from 1 species
GACAGAGGUGCCAAGCGUUAGGCGGAAUCACUGGGCUUAAAGCGUGUGUAGGCGGGUCGUUAAGUACCUUGUGAAAUCCCCCGGCUCAACCGGGGAACGGCUGGGUAUACUGGCGAUCUCGAGCCACCUAGGGGCAGUCGGAACAAGUGGUGGAGCGGUGAAGUGCGUAGAGAUCCGGAAGAACACCGGUGGCGAAGGCGGCCUGCUGGGCAGUGGCUGACGCUGAGGCGCGACAGCGUGGGGAGCAAACAGG